AGUGAACGCUGGCGGUAGGCCUAACACAUGCAAGUCGAACGGCAGCACAGGAGAGCUUGCUCUCUGGGUGGCGAGUGGCGGACGGGUGAGGAAUACAUCGGAAUCUACUUUUUCGUGGGGGAUAACGUAGGGAAACUUACGCUAAUACCGCAUACGACCUACGGGUGAAUGCAGGGGACCUUCGGGCCUUGCGCGAUUGAAUGAGCCGAUUUCGGAGUAGCUAGUUGGCGGGGUAAAGGCCCACCAAGGCGACGAUCCGUAGCUGGUGUGAGAGGAUGAUCAGCCACACUGGAACUGAGACACGGUCCAGACUCCUACGGGAGGCAGCAGUGGGGAAUAUUGGACAAUGGGCGCAAGCCUGAUCCAGCCAUACCGCGUGGGUGAAGAAGGCCUUCGGGUUGUAAAGCCCUUUUGUUGGGAAAGAAAUCCAGCUGGCUAAUACCCGGUUGGGAUGACGGUACCCAAAGAAUAAGCACCGGCUAACUUCGUGCCAGCCGCCGCCGUAA
rnacentral:rRNA from 1 species